rnacentral:tRNA from 1 species
UACUAAAUAAAAUCCUGAAGAUUUACAAUCCUCCAUUCAAUAAACUAAUUCAGC